GGACAACGGAAGAGACUCUGACACGAGGGGCAUGGAGAAACCUGUUUUUUUUUGUUGUUUUUUUGAGGUUGUUCAUCGUUAAAGUACCAGUCUAAGGAGCUUGGAAAGAUGAGCUUCUAGAACUUGUAUGUGAGGAGCAGGAGCUCCCUGAAGGAGAACCCCGC